rfam:Canis lupus familiaris chromosome 19, whole genome shotgun sequence.
AGCUUUGCCCAGUGGCUGUAUCAUAGCCAAUGAGGUUUACCCGAGGCGCGAUUAUUGCUAAUUGAAAGAAAGACCAAAAGUGACAUUAUGAAGGUAAGACACAUAAAAACAAUAAAAAUGAAUAUUUCUGUGAAA